AGCUCCAUAGCAUAGUGGUUAGCAUGUCCGCUUUACACGCAGAAGGUCCUGGGUUCGCUCCCCAGGUGGAGCCA
rfam:Pteropus alecto contig79994, whole genome shotgun sequence.